AGUUUGAAGCAGUUCUAACUGUUGGACUGAGGACAUUCACGCAGAGGGCUGUGUGCACUUGUGGGCCCCUCAGGUCAGCAUUGGGAUCCUGCAGUUAGCUGUGUUCUAUCCAUGUACAACCUCCGUACCAACUGCUCCCUCAGAAUGUGCUAUUGGAAACUCCUCACUCUUCCCUUCAUGGCUUUGCUGCCCUCCUCAGAAUUCAUUCCAGCUACUUAGUCUUUCAGGUAACAACAUGCCCAGAAAUUAAUCCUACAUUCCACGGUCUGAAAUAGAGCUUCUGGUGACUCAACUCAAAAAGGCUUUGGUCUGUUUCACUACUGUGUUACUCUUUACUGUGUGUCCAAUUUGCUGCACACUGUUACUAUUAAAUCUCUGUUGACAUUACUGCUUUCCAGGUUUCUCCCUCCCAUUGUGUGACGAUGUCCCAUCUGGGCUUUUCUCAUGUGGGAAAUAUUCACACAGAUUCAGAACUUCAGCAGAGCUUCCCAGCAGCAUUAGGCAUUUCACUAAUAAAUCACCGUUUCCUGUGGCAGAAGAGAAAACUAACUGAAAGAGCUUUUCAAAUCCAACAUGCAGCGAUAGCUUACCUUUCCCUAUUCCCUUAUUCCCAAAUGCUGUGUAAUAUCACCGGCAAAAUUUUAAAUAGAAAACUAGAUCAGGGAGGAUUCAGAGUUUCGGCGCUAAGACUUGGAAAGGAUCCACAUGCUACACGCCUCUGGUAUUAAAAAAAUAGCUACAAACAGAAUGCUGAGUUUAUUUUUUUUCUGUUAACUCAAGGUUAUGAUCUGCUGUGCAGCCACCAGGAUAAUUUCCCCAUUCCUGAUGCUUUGUCUAAGGCAGUGCAAUAAUUUGAUGUUGUUUAGAUGUGGUAGAGCUGAUACAGACACCUAGCUGCCCUUCAGGUGCUAGGGCACGCCAGCAUUUUCCCAGUGCAGUGCAGGACCAGGGAUCCAUCUGAAAACAGUGUGGUUCCCAUUGGACCAUUGUUAGUGUGACUUCAGCCCUGACUGUGAAGGUACGAUAUGUCAACCUUAGUCCAUCUGUGUCACCAGCAAGGACAUCAGGAUGGCCAAAAUUGUUCAGAUCUCUGACCAUUUAGCCCAAUGCUCUGUUCCCUGCAAUGACCCUGAGAAAUCAAGGAUGAGAGAAGGGAAGGCACAUUCAAUAUUUUUUUUCUUUCAGCUUCCAACUAUUUUUAGCUCUGGGGAUUUCCUGGCCCUGAUGAGGCUUCUCUGUUUUGUAACCCAAGGGAGUUCUAUUUCAAGUACUUGUCCACUUUCCCCUCAAGCCUAUUUAAACUUUUUGCAUCCAGAUAGCUCUUUGGUAAAAGCUCCAUGGGCUUUGUAAGUGUUGGGUGAAAAACCAGUUCUCUAUACAGCAGACUGGGCUCCUGGUUCUUGUGUUGAAGAAGGCAGUGAGCUGUCAGUCAACACCCAGCUUCUUCUGGCCACUCCAGAUUUUACAGACCUUCAUCAUACCCCCCAAGUCCAAGCAGAAGAGACUGGGAUGACUCAGUGACCCCUCAUAUGGAGACUAUUUCAAAUGUUUGAUCAUUCUAAUUUUCCUUCUUUGAAUCCCUCUUCCAGUUCAAGUUGCACACAAUAUUGAAGGCAGGGAUAAAUAAAGAGAUCACACAG
ensembl:lncRNA